ACGGGGGGUGCGAGCGUUGUCCGGAAUUAUUAGGCUUAAAGGGUAGGUAGGCGGAUCUAUAAGUUUAAGGUUUAAUUUUUCGGCUCAACCGGAAAAAUGCAGUUGAUACUGUAUAGCUUGAAUAUGGUUGCUGUGAGCGGAAUGUGUAGUGUAGCGGUGAAAUGCUUAGAUAUUACACAGAAUAUCGAUUGCGAAGGCAACUCACAAAGCCAUUAUUGACGCUGAGGCACGAAAGUGUGGGUAUCAAACAG
rnacentral:rRNA from 1 species